rnacentral:rRNA from 1 species
GACGAACGCUGGCGGCGCGCCUAACACAUGCAAGUCGAACGGGGCCUUUUAGAAGCUUGCUUCUGGCUGGCCUAGUGGCGGACGGGUGAGUAACACGUGAGCAACCUGCCCGGUAGUGGGGGAUAACGUCUGGAAACGGACGCUAAUACCGCAUAACAAGCCGAUGGGACAUCCUGUUGGUUUCAAAGGAGAAAUCCGCUAUUGGAUGGGCUCGCGCCCGAUUAGAUAGUUGGUGAGGUAACGGCUCACCAAGUCAACGAUCGGUAGCCGGACUGAGAGGUUGAACGGCCACAUUGGGACUGAGACACGGCCCAGACUCCUACGGGAGGCAGCAGUGGGGAAUAUUGGGCAAUGGGGGAAACCCUGACCCAGCGACGCCGCGUGAGUGAAGACGGCCUUCGGGUUGUAAAGCUCUGUUGAGGGGGACGAUAAUGACGGUACCCCUUAAGAAAGCCACGGCUAACUACGUGCCAGCCGCCGCCGUAAAAC